rnacentral:rRNA from 1 species
AUUGAACGCUGGCGGCAUGCUUUACACAUGCAAGUCGAACGGCAGCGCGGGCUUCGGCCUGGCGGCGAGUGGCGAACGGGUGAGUAAUGCAUCGGAACGUGCCCAGUAGUGGGGGAUAGCCCGGCGAAAGCCGGAUUAAUACCGCAUACGACCUGAGGGUGAAAGCGGGGGACCGAAAGGCCUCGCGCUAUUGGAGCGGCCGAUGUCGGAUUAGCUAGUUGGUGGGGCAAAGGCUUACCAAGGCGACGAUCCGUAGCUGGUCUGAGAGGACGACCAGCCACACUGGGACUGAGACACGGCCCAGACUCCUGCGGGAGGCAGCAGUGGGGAAUUUUGGACAAUGGGGGCAACCCUGAUCCAGCCAUGCCGCGUGCGGGAAGAAGGCCUUCGGGUUGUAAACCGCUUUUGUUCGGGAAGAAAUCCUCUGGGCUAAUACCCCGGGGGGAUGACGGUACCGGAAGAAUAAGCACCGGCUAACUACGUG